rnacentral:tRNA from 2 species
GGAGAGAUGGCUGAGUGGUCGAAAGCGGCACCCUGCUAAGGUGUUGUAUCGUUUACGCGGUACCGUGGGUUCGAAUCCCACUCUCUCCG